CCUACGGGUGGCAGCAGUGAGGAAUAUUGGUCAAUGGGAGCAAUCCUGAACCAGCCAAGCCGCGUGCAGGACGACGGCCCUAUGGGUUGUAAACUGCUUUUGUCCCGGGGUAAAAUGCGCUACGCGUGGCGUUUUGAGAGUACCGGAAGAAAAAGGAUCGGCUAACUCCGUGCCAGCAGCCGCGGUAAUACGGAGGAUGCGAGCGUUAUCCGGAUUUAUUGGGUUUAAAGGGUGCGCAGGCUGUAUAAUGAGUUAGCGGUGAAAUUCCGAUGCUCAACCUCGGGGCAGCCGUUGAAACUGGAGGACUUGAGAGAGUGUGCAGUAGGCGGAAUGCGUAGUGUAGCGGUGAAAUGCAUAGAUAUCACGCAGAACACCGAUUGCGAAGGCAGCUUGCCAGGGCGCAUCUGACGCUGAUGCACGAAAGUGUGGGGAUCGAACAGGAUUAGAUACCCUUGUAGUC
rnacentral:rRNA from 1 species